UCCUGUAUUUCCUUCAAAUUGCCUUGGGUGACAGUUGAUCAAGUAUUCUGUACUACGUCAAAACUGUUUGUGGAAAUGCUCCAGGAAACUUUGUGGAGGCCAAAAGUCUGAAGUAAGAAUCAUCUGGCUGAAAUCAAGGUGUGAGCAGGCCCACCUUACCUCCAGAGACUCUAUUUCCUGACUUCCAGAUCUCAAUGACUGCCAGCAUUCCUUGGGUUGGUGCUAUAUCAUCAGUAAUACUGUACCCCCUGCAUUGUAACAUCUUGUUCACUUAAUUACCGAAGACAACGUUUUUCAAAUUGCAGUCAUUUGGAUUGAUAC